rnacentral:rRNA from 1 species
UACGUAUGGAGCAAGCGUUAUCCGGAUUUACUGGGUGUAAAGGGUGCGUAGGUGGCGAGGCAAGUCAGAUGUGAAAUGCCGGGGCUUAACCCCGGAGCUGCAUUUGAAACUGCCUUGCUGGAGUGCAGGAGAGGCAGGCGGAAUUCCUAGUGUAGCGGUGAAAUGCGUAGAGAUUAGGAGGAACACCAGUGGCGAAGGCGGCCUGCUGGACUGAAACUGACACUGAGGCACGAAAGCGUGGGGAG